AUCACGGGACAGCGUCACGACCUCAAGUGUAUCGAUGACUCCAGCUUUAUUAUCAUCUCUAAUAAAUACAGAUGAUUAACAUGAUUAACGCAGCAGGGUCGUAACAGACAAUAAAACAAUCACACUCUGGAUGUCGUUACCGUGACAAAUGAAGCCGCUUCAGUGACUCCAGUGCAAAAUCAUCACUUCCAAAGAACAGUAUUCUCCAGGGCGGUUUAGACGCAGACUGUGUUUGAGUUACAAAAGAUUUGCUUCUGCCCAAGAGAUAUAAGCCUCUUCUGUGGCGUGUGAAACAGAUGCUACAAAGUCUUUGAGACAGCAAACGUCCUGGGUCUGUGAGUUUUAAGAAGUUUAAGUUCCACAUAUUUUAAUGUAAGAUUUCAUAAAUGACAGAAACUGUCAUUAACAGCUAGCAAAGUACAAAACCAUCACUCCUCCAUUAACGAAUAAGCACGCAGAAGUCAAGAGAGUCAUGCUAAUAUUCUAUGACAACUUCAGUGGUGUCGUCCUCAAGGACUUUGGACGGAGUGAGGGGUUCCAGCUGGGAGUCUGCGUUCCCUGCCUCCAAUCCAUCAGUUUUACACAGAAAAUCAGAGGGAGUUACGGCACCUUCAUCAGCCAGGGCAGAAAUGGGGCAGACUGGAGCCUCGGCGGGUGACUGAGGAGGAAGACUCUUAGGGGAUUCUUCUACUGAUGCCUCGUUGGUGGUGGCCUCCUCCAUGUCCUCCUUCACCUCAUCCUGGUCACUUUUGUCAGCUUCAGGAGCCUCUGACCCAUCCUCCAUUACGGUGUCCUUAUCUGGUAUUGUUUGUAUUUCACUGCUCUGAAUGGGUUUGGUCUCAUCUCUGGCCUCAGUAUCUGGUUCGAUGGGAACUAGUUGUUUGGAGUCAUCAUGGACAUCCUCUGAGCUGCAUUAUAAGAUCGAGAUACAUUAAUGUUUAUUAUCAUGUAAAAGGUCCCAUGAAAUUAAAAUAAAGUUUUUUAGUAUCA